GGAUCAGUGGCGAACGGGUGAGUAACACGUGAGCAACCUGCCCUGGACUCUGGGAUAAGCGCUGGAAACGGCGUCUAAUACUGGAUAUGAGACGUGAUCGCAUGGUCAACGUUUGGAAAGAUUUUUCGGUCUGGGAUGGGCUCGCGGCCUAUCAGCUUGUUGGUGAGGUAAUGGCUCACCAAGGCGUCGACGGGUAGCCGGCCUGAGAGGGUGACCGGCCACACUGGGACUGAGACACGGCCCAGACUCCUACGGGAGGCAGCAGUGGGGAAUAUUGCACAAUGGGCGGAAGCCUGAUGCAGCAACGCCGCGUGAGGGAUGACGGCCUUCGGGUUGUAAACCUCUUUUAGCAGGGAAGAAGCGAGAGUGACGGUACCUGCAGAAAAAGCGCCGGCUAACUACGUGCCAGCAGCCGCGGUAAUACGUAGGGCGCAAGCGUUAUCCGGAAUUAUUGGGCGUAAAGAGCUCGUAGGCGGUUUGUCGCGUCUGCUGUGAAAUCCCGAGGCUCAACCUCGGGCCUGCAGUGGGUACGGGCAGACUAGAGUGCGGUAGGGGAGAUUGGAAUUCCUGGUGUAGCGGUGGAAUGCGCAGAUAUCAGGAGGAACACCGAUGGCGAAGGCAGAUCUCUGGGCCGUAACUGACGCUGAGGAGCGAAAGGGUGGGGAGCAAACAGGCUUAGAUACCCUGGUAGUCCACCCCG
rnacentral:rRNA from 1 species